GAGGCGUCCCCUUUUUCCGAGCCCCGGCGCGGCGGCGCAUCUUCCGCCUGAAGUUUUGUGCAACCUGGACAGCUCCUGCGGGGCCCCGGAGGGCUCCGAUGACUGCGGCCAUAUACGGGAACUGUACAGAGCGAGGCCAUUCGGAGGGAGCUGCCGGGGCUGUGUGGUCCCAUUCUUUCUGCUACACCGUCGUGCCACAUUAAACACACGCGUCUUAAAUUGUCAUUCAAGUCGGAAAUUAGAACAAUACCACAUGCCGCCUUACGUUCCUUCAACGGAACCCACUCCACCUUCCCUGUCAAUCGCCGUCGCCACCGGCGUCGCCACCUUCCCCGUCAGUCGCCGGGAACCCACACAAUUCCCGGGGGGC
rnacentral:lncRNA from 1 species